rnacentral:rRNA from 1 species
UACGAAGGGGGCUAGCGUUGCUCGGAAUCACUGGGCGUAAAGGGUGCGUAGGCGGGUUCUUAAGUCAGAGGUGAAAUCCUGGAGCUCAACUCCAGAACUGCCUUUGAUACUGAGAGUCUUGAGUUCGGGAGAGGUGAGUGGAACUGCGAGUGUAGAGGUGAAAUUCGUAGAUAUUCGCAAGAACACCAGUGGCGAAGGCGGCUCACUGGCCCGAUACUGACGCUGAUGGCACGAAAGCGUGGGGAGCAAACAGG